rnacentral:rRNA from 1 species
GACGAACGCUGGCGGCGCGCUUAACACAUGCAAGUCGAGCGAGAACCAGCCCUUCGGGGCUGGGGAAAGCGGCGAACGGGUGAGUAACACGUGGGUAAUCUGCCCUCGGCACCGGAAUAGCCCGGGGAAACCCGGAUUAAUGCCGGAUGGCCUCUCGAGCUCUCGAGCUCGUGAGAAAAGGUAGCUUCGGCCUCCGGCCGAGGAUGAGCCCGCGGUCGAUUAGCUUGUUGGUGAGGUAAUGGCUCACCAAGGCGACGAUCGAUAGCUGGUCUGAGAGGACGAUCAGCCACACUGGGACUGAGACACGGCCCAGACUCCUACGGGAGGCGAGCAGUGGGGAAUCUUGCGCAAUGGGCGAAAGCCUGACGCAGCGACGCCGUGUG